rnacentral:misc_RNA from 1 species
GGAAGGAUCAUUACCGAGUGAGGGCUGCCUCCGGGCGCCCAACCUCCCACCCGUGAAUACCUAACACUGUUGCUUCGGCGGGGAGCCCUCUCGGGGGCGAGCCGCCGGAGACCACUGAACUUCAUGCCUGUAGUGAUGAGUCUGAGCCUAAAUGAAAAUUUAGUCAAAACUUUCAACAAUGGAUCUCUUGGUUCCGGCAUCGAUGAAGAACGCAGCGAACUGCGAUAAGUAAUGUGAAUUGCAGAAUUCAGUGAAUCAUCGAGUCUUUGAACGCACAUUGCGCCCCCUGGCAUUCCGGGGGGCAUGCCUGUCCGAGCGUCAUUGCUGCCCUUCAAGCCCGGCUUGUGUGUUGGGUCGUCGUCCCCCCCGGGGGACGGGCCCGAAAGGCAGCGGCGGCACCGUGUCCGGUCCUCGAGCGUAUGGGGCUUUGUCACCCGCUCGAUUAGGGCCGGCCGGGCGCCAGCCGGCGUCUCCAACCUUAUUUUUCUCAGGUUGACCUCGGAUCAGGUAGGGAUACCCGCUGAACUUAAGCAUAUCAAUAAGCGGAGGAAAAGAAACCAACCGGGAUUGCCUCAGUAACGGCGAGUGAAGCGGCAAGAGCUCAAAUUUGAAAUCUGGCCCCUCCGGGGUCCGAGUUGUAAUUUGCAGAGGAUGCUUCGGGUGCGGCCCCUGUCUAAGUGCCCUGGAACGGGCCGUCAGAGAGGGUGAGAAUCCCGUCUUGGGCAGGGUGCCCGUGCCCGUGUGAAGCUCCUUCGACGAGUCGAGUUGUUUGGGAAUGCAGCUCUAAAUGGGUGGUAAAUUUCAUCUAAAGCUAAAUACCGGCCGGAGACCGAUAGCGCACAAGUAGAGUGAUCGAAAGAUGAAAAGCACUUUGAAAAGAGAGUUAAACAGCACGUGAAAUUGUUGAAAGGGAAGCGCUUGCGACCAGACUCGGCCCUGGGGUUCAGCCAGCACUCGUGCUGGUGUACUUCCCCAGGGGCGGGCCAGCGUCGGUUUGGGCGGCCGGUCAAAGGCCCCAGGAAUGUAUCACCCUCCGGGGUUGUCUUAUAGCCUGGGGUGCAAUGCGGCCAGCCCGGACCGAGGAACGCGCUUCGGCACGGACGCUGGCGUAAUGGUCGCAAACGACCCGUCUUGAAACACGGACCAAGGAGUCUAACAUCUACGCGAGUGUUCGGGUGUCAAACCCGUACGCGCAGUGAAAGCGAACGGAGGUGGGAGCCCCCCCGGGGCGCACCAUCGACCGAUCCUGAUGUCUUCGGAUGGAUUUGAGUAAGAGCGUAGCUGUGGGGACCCGAAAGAUGGUGAACUAUGCCUGAAUAGGGCGAAGCCAGAGGAAACUCUGGUGGAGGCUCGCAGCGGUUCUGACGUGCAAAUCGAUCGUCAAAUUUGGGUAUAGGGGCGAAAGACUAAUCGAACCAUCUGGUAGCUGGUUCCUGC